rnacentral:rRNA from 1 species
AUUGAACGCUGGCGGCAGGCUUAACACAUGCAAGUCGAGCGGAGCGGCGGACGGGUGAGUAAUGCUUAGGAAUCUGCCUAUUAGUGGGGGACAACAUCUCGAAAGGGAUGCUAAUACCGCAUACUAAUAGAUGUGCCCAGAUGGGAUUAGCUAGUAGGUGGGGUAACGGCUCACCUAGGCGACGAUCCCUAGCUGGGCUGAGAGGAUGACCAGCCACACUGGACCUGAGACACGGUCCAGACUCCUACGGGAGGCAGCAGUGGGGAAUAUUGCACAAUGGGCGCAAGCCUGAUGCAGCCAUGCCGCGUGUGGGAAGAAGGCCUUAUGGUUGUAAAGCACUUUAAGCGAGGAGGCGUUACUCGCAGAAUAAGCACCGGCUAACUCUGUGCCAGCCGCCGCGGUAAUAC